rnacentral:tRNA from 1 species
UUUCCGAGUAGUUCGAAGGUCGGACUGUUAAUCCGCAGGUCCCUGGUUCGAGUCCAGGUCGGGGAGCCA